rnacentral:rRNA from 1 species
UGGGGAAUAUUGCACAAUGGGCGAAAGCCUGAUGCAGCGACGCCGCGUGAAGGAUGAAGUAUUUCGGUAUGUAAACUUCUAUCAGCAGGGAAGAAAAUGACGGUACCUGACUAAGAAGCCCCGGCUAACUACGUGCCAGCAGCCGCGGUAAUACGUAGGGGGCAAGCGUUAUCCGGAUUUACUGGGUGUAAAGGGAGCGUAGACGGUAAUGUAAGUCUGAUGUGAAAGCCCGGGGCUCAACCCCGGGACUGCAUUGGAAACUAUGUAACUAGAGUACCGGAGAGGUAAGCGGAAUUCCUAGUGUAGCGGUGAAAUGCGUAGAUAUUAGGAGGAACACCAGUGGCGAAGGCGGCUUACUGGACGGAAACUGACGUUGAGGCUCGAAAGCGUGGGGAGCAAACAGG